rnacentral:lncRNA from 1 species
UGAAGUUUGGGUCGACUCAUGCUUACCUUGGGUCGACCCAACUCACUGUUCAUCUGUGCCAAUUUUGCAGAAGUGUGCCAAAUGACUUCUUGAUGUGCCGGGGUCGACCCAAUCAUCCUUUGGGUCGACUCAAUCUACACUUUGCUGCAUCUCAAGGUUAGAUUUAUUCAAAUGAACAAAGCCAUGUAUCUAUUAUCAAUUCAUACAAAUAUACUGAGAGUAAUGAACUUAUAAAUGAAGUAUCAAUUUAACUUAUAAUAUACUCUAGAUAAUUGCUUGUUAAUCAUCAAAAUAACACUAUCAUCCUCAGAUAUGCCCUUUACCAUUGUCUCCAUAGGUUACUAUUCCACCUUUCUUUGAUUCCAAGGUGACAAAUUGAUCUACGUCACCGGUCAUGUGUCUUGAACAGCCGCUAUCUAGAUACCAUCGUUUUUCCACUUUAUCAGCUGUAAGACACACCUGCAAUCAAGAUCAAGAAGAAACUUUAGGUACCCAAACUAAGUUGGGUCCUUUAGGGUUAGUACUCCAUGUUCCUUUUGGAACCCAAACUUUCUUGAAGUUAAUCUUUUGAUUAUAACUUGAUUUGUUUUGACUGGACUUUCUAAAGUUACAUUCAUAUGCUCUAUGUC